rnacentral:rRNA from 1 species
UUGCUCUUCUUGGAUGAGUUGCGAACGGGUGAGUAACGCGUAGGUAACCUGCCUUGUAGCGGGGGAUAACUAUUGGAAACGAUAGCUAAUACCGCAUAACAAUGGGUGACACAUGUCAUUUAUUUGAAAGGGGCAAUUGCUCCACUACAAGAUGGACCUGCGUUGUAUUAGCUAGUAGGUGAGGUAACGGCUCACCUAGGCGACGAUACAUAGCCGACCUGAGAGGGUGAUCGGCCACACUGGGACUGAGACACGGCCCAGACUCCUACGGGAGGCAGCAGUAGGGAAUCUUCGGCAAUGGGGGCAACCCUGACCGAGCAACGCCGCGUGAGUGAAGAAGGUUUUCGGAUCGUAAAGACUCUGUUGUAAGUCAAGAACGAGUGUGAGAGUGGAAAGUUCACACUGUGACGGUAGCUUACCAGAAAGGGACGGCUAACUACGUGCCAGCAGCCGCGGUAAUACGUAGGUCCCGAGCGUUGUCCGGAUUUAUUGGGCGUAAAGCGAGCGCAGGCGGUUUGAUAAGUCUGAAGUUAAAGGCUGUGGCUCAACCAUAGUUCGCUUUGGAAACUGUCAAACUUGAGUGCAGAAGGGGAGAGUGGAAUUCCAUGUGUAGCGGUGAAAUGCGUAGAUAUAUGGAGGAACACCGGUGGCGAAAGCGGCUCUCUGGUCUGUAACUGACGCUGAGGCUCGAAAGCGU